UGGGGAAUUUUGGACAAUGGGGGCAACCCUGAUCCAGCAAUGCCGCGUGUGUGAAGAAGGCCUUCGGGUUGUAAAGCACUUUUGUCCGGGAAGAAAUCGCACCUGAUAAUACCGGGUGUGGAUGACGGUACCGGAAGAAUAAGGACCGGCUAACUACGUGCCAGCAGCCGCGGUAAUACGUAGGGUCCUAGCGUUAAUCGGAAUUACUGGGCGUAAAGCGUGCGCAGGCGGUUGUGCAAGACCGAUGUGAAAUCCCCGGGCUUAACCUGGGAAUUGCAUUGGUGACUGCACGGCUAGAGUGUGUCAGAGGGGGGUAGAAUUCCACGUGUAGCAGUGAAAUGCGUAGAGAUGUGGAGGAAUACCGAUGGCGAAGGCAGCCCCCUGGGAUAACACUGACGCUCAUGCACGAAAGCGUGGGGAGCAAACAGG
rnacentral:rRNA from 1 species